rnacentral:rRNA from 1 species
UACGUAGGGUGCAAGCGUUGUCCGGAAUUAUUGGGCGUAAAGGGCUCGUAGGCGGUUUGUUGCGUCGGAAGUGAAAACUCAGGGCUUAACCCUGAGCCUGCUUCCGAUACGGGCAGACUAGAGUACUGCAGGGGAGACUGGAAUUCCUGGUGUAGCGGUGGAAUGCGCAGAUAUCAGGAGGAACACCGGUGGCGAAGGCGGGUCUCUGGGCAGUAACUGACGCUGAGGAGCGAAAGCGUGGGGAGCGAACAGG